rnacentral:rRNA from 1 species
AGUCGAGGGGUAUGUUCUUCGGAAUUAGAGACCGGCGCACGGGUGCGUAACGCGUAUGCAAUCUACCUUUUACAGAGGGAUAGCCCAGAGAAAUUUGGAUUAAUACCUCAUAGUAUUAUGAAAUGGCAUCAUUUUAUAAUUAAAGUCACAACGGUAAAAGAUGAGCAUGCGUCCCAUUAGCUAGUUGGUAAGGUAACGGCUUACCAAGGCUACGAUGGGUAGGGGUCCUGAGAGGGAGAUCCCCCACACUGGUACUGAGACACGGACCAGACUCCUACGGGAGGCAGCAGUGAGGAAUAUUGGACAAUGGGCGCAAGCCUGAUCCAGCCAUGCCGCGUGCAGGAUGACGGUCCUAUGGAUUGUAAACUGCUUUUAUACAGGAAGAAACCCUGGUUCGUGAACCAGCUUGACGGUACUGUAAGAAUAAGGAUCGGCUAACUCCGUGCCAGCAGCCGCGGUAAUACGGAGGAUCCAAGCGUUAUCCGGAAUCAUUGGGUUUAAAGGGUCCGUAGGCGGUUUAAUAAGUCAGUGGUGAAAGCCCAUCGCUCAACGGUGGAACGGCCAUUGAUACUGUUAAACUUGAAUUAUUAGGAAGUAACUAGAAUAUGUAGUGUAGCGGUGAAAUGCUUAGAGAUUACAUGGAAUACCAAUUGCGAAGGCAGGUUACUACUAAUUGAUUGACGCUGAUGG